CGCGGACCUAAUGAGCGUGUACAAUCUGUUUCACAACACGCUGUUCAGCGUCACUACGUGCCGUAAUUACGUGUUGACAGUGACGAAGGCCGGUCUUUUGGCAGUGGCGGAUGCGACGCCACAAUCUGAUUCCGACUCGUCUUCGGAGGAAUCGGUCGAGACCCGUGAAUUUAUGGAAGA